rnacentral:sRNA from 1 species
AUGGUAUUAUUUUGGCAAUCAAUGGGGUCUUCAUAAAGCAUGGGGGGAAUUUGGAGUUUGGGGAUUCUUCUCCUUCCUCCAAAGAAUCAAAACUGUUUGCAUGUGCUUAACCAAUGGCUCAGCUAAACAGUAGUAUAGAUAUACCGCCACCGCGCAUGGAGGAGGACCCUAGUAGCUACUAGCUAGCUAGCUAGCAGAAGCUUAUGGCUAAUGCAGUGGCAAACCGGCAAGUCACAGAACGGCAAUUGACUCAAUCAUGAGUCUU